GCUCCCUGCCCGCCCCGCUCGCUCAGAGCUGCACCGCCCGGUCCCGGCCACAGGAGGGGAACGCUGCCGCACGCAGCAGGCGAGUGUCCCCGGCUCCUCCUUACGGCAAGCAGAGGCGGCGCCCCCAGGCCCUUCGCGGCGGUGGGGCACGGCAGGAGGCCGCGCACCCCCCGAUCCCGGAUAGCACACAGGGAAGCAGCAGAGAGGACCUCAUAUAUCUGAAAUAUUGACCUAGCCCAGGACCUGACGCCAAGAUGAGAAGCAUUUCUGAGAGUCUGACCAGCCCCGGGGUGGAUCUAUGACAGCAAUUCCCACCACAUCCUUCCAGCUGGCAAUACACGACCCCCUGAGCUCAGGCAGCCCAGCCUCUCCCCAAAGCAUCGCCAGUGCUGCCCAUCCCUGCCUCUCCUGCCUCCUCCCAGACCCAGCUCCUGCUCCACAUCAGGGCUUCCUCCACACGCCACCCUACCUGUGCUCCUCUGGUGAAGGAUAAGUGCAGUUAAAUCAGCACAGAAAAUACUAGAAGGACCUGGAGUUCUGCCUGUUUAAACUGCUGAAUAUUUCCUUCACAAUUUUCAGCUGUGGGCUUGGGUCAUGGCUGCAGAUUUUCUUCUACUGACUCAGAUGAAGGGAAUAAUUUGUCUCUGGUAGAAGGCUGCAACAUCAAAAUGAUUUACACCUGUCAUGCAUUUAUCCUUUUAAGAUUUACUGUGCAUCACACAGACCCAAAUUGUAAAUGUCUUGCCAGGAAAUUAAAUCCACUGUGAGUGACUCUGAACAUGCCAAUUCUCUGGGGAGCCUUAGCCACUCUCAGCCCUGGGACCAGCCUUCAGAAGGAGGCUCAUGGUGACAGAGCUGCACACCAGCUUCCACCAGCUGAGGUGACCAAGGAGUGGAAAACGUCCAAAGGAGGCCUAUGACUGGGGAAGCGGGAUACCUGGCUCUUUCCGCCAAGCACAAGGACUCGUGGAGAACAUAGCCCUUGCUCAGAAGAAAGCUUUCGGUAAUUAAUAGCAAUGUAACAGCCGGUGCAUGAAGCAUCCAAGGGCACAGGGGAUC